rnacentral:rRNA from 1 species
UACGAAGGGGGCUAGCGUUGUUCGGAAUUACUGGGCGUAAAGCGCACGUAGGCGGACAUUUAAGUCAGGGGUGAAAUCCUGGAGCUCAACUCCAGAACUGCCUUUGAUACUGAGAAGCUUGAGUCCGGGAGAGGUGAGUGGAACUGCGAGUGUAGAGGUGAAAUUCGUAGAUAUUGGGAAGAACACCGGUGGCGAAGGCGGCUAUCUGGACCGACAUUGACGCUGAGGCGCGAAAGCGUGGGGAGCAAACAGG